rnacentral:snRNA from 1 species
GGAUGUGAGGGUGAUCUGGCUGCAACAUCUCUCACCCCAUUGAUCACCAGAUUGAUUCAGCUGAUCUGGUUGGCUAGGCAGAUGUCCCCUUCCUCCCUCACUGCUCCACAUGCAUCCCUCCCGAAGCUGUGCUGUCUAGAUAUUGAAGGCCAGUUCCUCAGUCAAGGGUAUACGAGUAGCUGCGCUCCCCUGCUAGAACCUCUAAAGCUCUCAAGGUCCAUUUGUAGGAGAACACAGGGUAGUCAAGCUUCCAAGACUCCAGACACGUCUAAAUGAGCCCCUACUUAUGACAAUCUGCCUUUU